rnacentral:misc_RNA from 1 species
UCCCUCUUCUUACUGAACAAAGAAAAAUUAAAUGUAAUGAGCAACCCUCAAAAUUGGAUGGGGGCUCAGUUUUUACAGUUUGUGAAUCAAUGCAUGUUUUCUUACGACGGAUCAAAUGCAAGCAAAUGAAUAAUCAACCAACUCACUCAAUACAACCUUUAAUUUCCAUUUCAGCAUGUGAAUUUUAUGUCCAUCCACACGCCCUUGAAUUGCAGAGGAUCUUUUUUACUUUUGGAUCAGUCCUUCCAGUGUGGCCAUAGAAUACAUCAGACAUGUAAUAUAAUACCACAGGGUCCUCAACUUCGUGUGAGUUAUGUUGAGGCUGCAAUUAACGAUUUUGGUCAAUCUUCAUGUUCAUCUUCAG